rnacentral:rRNA from 1 species
CACUUAUUAGAUACAAAGCCAAUGACACUUGUGUCUUUAUUGGUGAAUCAUAAUAAUUUUUCGAAUCGAACAGUUUAAUACUGUCGAUAGGUCAUUGAAGUUUCUGCCCUAUCAGCUGAGUUGUUAGUGUAUUGGACUAACAUGGCUAAAACGGGUGACGGAGGAUUAGGGUCUGAUUCCGGAGAGGGAGCCUGAGAAACAGCUACCACUUCCAAGGAAGGCAGCAGGCGCGUAAAUUACCCAAUCCCGAUACGGGGAGGUAGUGACAAGAAAUAACAAUACCAACCUUGUGUUGGUAAUUGGAAUGAGUACAACUUAAAUGCUUUAACGAGCAUCAAUUGGAGGGCAAGUCUGGUGCCAGCAGCCGCGGUAAUACCAGCUCCAAUAGCGUAUAUUAACGUUGUUGCAGUUAAAAGGCUCGUAGUCAAACUUAUGGCUCUUGAGAGACUCGCUCUUCAUCUAUGAUGAUGCAGCUGAGACUUUCGAGUCAUCUUUGUGGAUUUGCACAUCUGUACUUGAUUGAAUGGGUGUGCAGUCUGCAUCAUUUACUGUGAGUAAAACAAAGUGUUCAAAGCA